AGAGUUUGAUCAUGGCUCAGGAUGAACGCUAGCGGGAGGCCUAACACAUGCAAGCCGAGCGGUAGGUUUCCUUCGGGAGACUGAGAGCGGCGCACGGGUGCGGAACACGUGUGCAACCUGCCUUUAUCAGGGGGAUAGCCUUUCGAAAGGAAGAUUAAUACCCCAUAAUAUUUUAAGUGGCAUCACUUGAAAUUGAAAACUCCGGUGGAUAAAGAUGGGCACGCGCAAGAUUAGAUAGUUGGUAGGGUAACGGCCUACCAAGUCUACGAUCUUUAGGGGGCCUGAGAGGGUGAUCCCCCACACUGGUACUGAGACACGGACCAGACUCCUACGGGAGGCAGCAGUGAGGAAUAUUGGACAAUGGGUGAGAGCCUGAUCCAGCCAUCCCGCGUGAAGGACGACGGCCCUAUGGGUUGUAAACUUCUUUUGUAUAGGGAUAAACCUAGAUACGUGUAUCUAGCUGAAGGUACUAUACGAAUAAGCACCGGCUAACUCCGUGCCAGCAGCCGCGGUAAUACGGAGGGUGCAAGCGUUAUCCGGAUUUAUUGGGUUUAAAGGGUCCGUAGGCGGAUCUGUAAGUCAGUGGUGAAAUCUCACAGCUCAACUGUGAAACUGCCAUUGAUACUGCAGGUCUUGAGUGUUGUUGAAGUAGCUGGAAUAAGUAGUGUAGCGGUGAAAUGCAUAGAUAUUACUUAGAACACCAAUUGCGAAGGCAGGUUACUAAGCAACAACUGACGCUGAUGGACGAAAGCGUGGGGAGCGAACAGGAUUAGAUACCCUGGUAGUCCACGCCGUAAACGAUGCUAACUCGUUUUUGGGUUUUCGGAUUCAGAGACUAAGCGAAAGUGAUAAGUUAGCCACCUGGGGGAGUACGUUCGCAAGAAUGAAACUCAAAGGAAUUGACGG
rnacentral:rRNA from 1 species